rnacentral:rRNA from 1 species
UACAGAGGGUGCGAGCGUUAUCCGGAAUUAUUGGGCGUAAAGAGCUCGUAGGCGGUUUGUCGCGUCUGCUGUGAAAACCCGAGGCUCAACCUCGGGCCUGCAGUGGGUACGGGCAGACUAGAGUGCGGUAGGGGAGAUUGGAAUUCCUGGUGUAGCGGUGGAAUGCGCAGAUAUCAGGAGGAACACCGAUGGCGAAGGCAGAUCUCUGGGCCGUAACUGACGCUGAGGAGCGAAAGCGUGGGGAGCGAACAGG